UACAGAGGUGGCAAGCGUUGUUCGGAAUUACUGGGCGUAAAGGGCGCGUAGGCGGUUCGGUAAGUCCUGUGUGAAAUCCCUCGGCUCAACUGAGGAACUGCACGGGAGACUGCCGGGCUUGAGUUCGGGAGAGGGAAGCGGAAUUCCGGGUGUAGCGGUGAAAUGCGUAGAUAUCUGGAGGAACACCGGUGGCGAAGGCGGCGUUCUGGACUGCAACUGACACUGAGGAACGAAAGCCAGGGGAGCAAACGGG
rnacentral:rRNA from 1 species